UCGAUCCUACGGGGGGCAGCAGUAGGGAAUUUUCGUCAAUGGGCGCAAGCCUGAACGAGCGAUGCCGCGUGAGUGAAGAAGGCCUUCGGGUUGUAAACUUCUUUUCUCGGGGACGAAGAAAGUGACGGUACCUGAGGAAUAAGCCACGGCUAACUACGUGCCAGCAGCCGCGGUAAUACGUAGGUGGCAAGCGUUAUCCGGAUUUAUUGGGUGUAAAGGGCGUGUAGGCGGGAGCGCAAGUCAGAUGUGAAAACUCAGGGCUCAACCCUGAGCCUGCAUUUGAAACUGUGUUUCUUGAGUGCUGG
rnacentral:rRNA from 1 species